rnacentral:rRNA from 1 species
GACGAACGCUGGCGGCGUGCUUAACACAUGCAAGUCGAACGGUGAAGCGAGUGCUUGCACUCGUGGAUCAGUGGCGAACGGGUGAGUAACACGUGAGUAACCUGCCCAUCACUCUGGGAUAAGCACUGGAAACGGUGUCUAAUACUGGAUACGACCAACCCUUGCAUGGGGUGUUGGUGGAAAGAUUUAUCGGUGAUGGAUGGACUCGCGGCCUAUCAGCUUGUUGGCGGGGUAAUGGCCCACCAAGGCGACGACGGGUAGCCGGCCUGAGAGGGUGACCGGCCACACUGGGACUGAGACACGGCCCAGACUCCUACGGGAGGCAGCAGUGGGGAAUAUUGCACAACGGGCGAAGGCCUGAUGCAGCGACGCCGCGUGAGGGAUGACGGCCUUCGGGUUGUAAACCUCUUUCAGCAGGGAAGAAGCGAAAGUGACGGUACCUGCAGAAGAAGCACCGGCUAACUACGUG